rnacentral:sRNA from 1 species
UCCUAGCCCCGAUAGAAGUGGAAAUCCUUUUGUGGCGCUUCUUUAGAGACACAAAAGAUUGAAACGAAUAGCGGGAUUAGCU